GCUGGGUAUGGUGGCGCAUGCCUGUAAUCCCAGCUACUCAGGAGGCCGAGGCAGGAGAAUCGCUUGAACCCGGGAGGUGGAGGUGACAGUGAGCUAAGAUGGCACCACUGCACUCCCGCCUGGGCGACAGAGUGAGACCUUGUCUCAA
rnacentral:sRNA from 1 species